UAAAGUAGAGCUUGAUGUAAGAGUGUCUUAUUUACAAUGAGAAGGAAAUUUGUAUUGCUUUAA
rnacentral:tRNA from 1 species